rnacentral:rRNA from 1 species
AUUGAACGCUGGCGGCAUGCUUUACACAUGCCAGUCGAACCGUAACAGGCCGCAAGGUGCUGACGAGUGGCGAACGGGUGAGUAAUGCAUCGGAACGUGCCCAGUCGUGGGGGAUAACUACUCGAAAGAGUAGCUAAUACCGCAUACGAUCUAUGGAUGAAAGCGGGGGACCGUAAGGCCUCGCGCGAUUGGAGCGGCCGAUGUCAGAUUAGGUAGUUGGUGGGGUAAAGGCUCACCAAGCCAACGAUCUGUAGCUGGUCUGAGAGGACGACCAGCCACACUGGGACUGAGACACGGCCCAGACUCCUACGGGAGGCAGCAGUGGGGAAUUUUGGACAAUGGGCGCAAGCCUGAUCCAGCAAUGCCGCGUGCAGGAAGAAGGCCUUCGGGUUGUAAACUGCUUUUGUACGGAACGAAACGGCUCUGGUUAAUACCCGGGGCUAAUGACGGUACCGUAAGAAUAAGCACCGGCUAACUACGUG